AUAUUCCCACCAGGUGGGAUCUGGGGAGGAUAAUAUGUAGACGAGCCUUACCCCUGCCCGAAAGGGUAGAGAGGCUGUUUCCAAUCGACCCUCGGCGCAUAGGAUAAAAUGAAAAGCUGCAUUAAAACAAAGACAAAAUUAGAAACAAGAAACUAGAUAGGCUGUUUCCAAUCGACCCUCGGCGUAUAGGAUAAAAAAGGGAUAGCUGCAUUAAGAAAACAAAGGUAAAAUUAGAGACACAAGCAAGACAAAACAAAAUAAUAAAGCAUAAGUACUCCCGCAAAAAUAAAGUAAAUAAUUAUGAAAGCAUAAGCAACAUAAAUACAGUCGCAAAUAAUAACAAGCAGUAACUACCAUACUAAAACACUGAUCACCUAUGAGCCCUUAGCCUACAAUCUUGAUUCUAGACCUCCAGACUCCCCUCUCAAGGGUCAUGUCCUCUGUAACCUGCAUUCUGGUCAUGUCCUGCCUAAUCACCUCUCCCCGAUGCUUCUUAGGCCUCCCUCUCCCUCGCCGACCACCAACAAUCUCCAGCCGCUCGCAGCUCCUCACCGAGGCAUCGGGGCCCCUCCUCCGAACAUGCCCGAACCACCUCAGUCUCGCUUCCCGCAUCUUCUCGUCCACCGGGGCCACCCCUACCUUCUGUCGAAUAACUUCAUUCUUGAUCUUAUCCAGCCUGGUGUGCCCACACAUCNNNNNN
rnacentral:lncRNA from 1 species